rnacentral:rRNA from 1 species
CCUACGGGUGGCUGCAGUGGGGAAUAUUGGACAAUGGGGGGAACCCUGAUCCAGCCAUGCCGCGUGUGUGAAGAAGGCCCUCGGGUUGUAAAGCACUUUCAGUGAGGAAGAACGCCUGGUGGUUAAUACCCAUCAGGAAAGACAGCACUCACAGAAGAAGCACCGGCUAACUCCGUGCCAGCAGCCGCGGUAAUACGGAGGGUGCGAGCGUUAAUCGGAAUUACUGGGCGUAAAGCGCGCGUAGGUGGCUUGAUAAGCCGGUUGUGAAAGCCCCGGGCUCAACCUGGGAACGGCAUCCGGAACUGUCAAGCUAGAGUGCAGGAGAGGAAGGUAGAAUUCCCGGUGUAGCGGUGAAAUGCGUAGAGAUCGGGAGGAAUACCAGUGGCGAAGGCGGCCUUCUGGACUGACACUGACACUGAGGUGCGAAAGCGUGGGUAGCAAACAGGAUUAGAUACCCCAGUAGUC